rnacentral:rRNA from 1 species
GAUGGACGCUGGCGGCGCGCCUAACACAUGCAAGUCGAACGAUUAAAGCACCUUCGGGUGUGUAUAAAGUGGCGAACGGCUGAGUAACACGUGGGCAACCUGCCCCUUUCAUUGGGAUAGCCACGGGAAACCGUGGAUAAUACCGAAUACUUCGAGACUUCCGCAUGGAAGACUCGAGAAAGCUCCGGCGGAGAGGGAUGGGCCCGCGGCCUGUUAGCUUGUUGGUGGGGUAACGGCCUACCAAGGCAAUGAUGGGUAGCUGGGUUGAGAGACCGACCAGCCAGAUUGGGACUGAGACACGGCCCAGACUCCUACGGGAGGCAGCAGUGGGGAAUCUUGCACAAUGGGCGAAAGCCUGAUGCAGCGACGCCGCGUGCGGGAUGAAGGCCUUCGGGUUGUAAACCGCUUUCAGCAGGGACGAGGCGAAAGUGACGGUACCUGCAGAAGAAGCCCCGGCUAACUACGUG